ensembl:lncRNA
GGAAGACUGAGCAGGUGGGGAAGACUGAGCAGGUGGGGAAGACUGAGCAGGUGGGGAAGACGGAGCAGGUGGGUGCAGGUAGGGAAGACGGAGCAGGUGGGUGCAGGUAUGGAAGACGGUGCAGGUGGGGAAGACGGAGCAGGUGGGUGCAGGUGGGGAAGACGGAGCAGGUGGGGAAGACGGAGCAGGUGGGGAAGACGGAGCAGGUGGGGAAGACGGAGCAGGUGGGUGCAGGUGGGGAAGACUGAGCAGGUGUGUGCAGGUAGGGAAGACGGAUUCUCAUUCCAAGGUGGCAUAGCAGUUCAGACGUCUUUUGUCCUCGUCUUGUCGUGUCCUGUAUAUAUAUAUAUAUUUACAACUUUUUUCACAUACAUUUUAUUUUUAUUUUCCAUCAACUCAUCUUCAAAACACUCUCCUGCAACCCGCCUCACCAAUUUAUAUUUAUAAAAAAGUAUUAUUUACCUCAAAUCUGCAAUCCUCCAAGAAGCUAGCCUGAAACUAGCCAGAAGCUAAUCAGAAGCUAGUUCAGAAGCUAGUUAGCUUCUUUACUGGCAAAUCGUUAGUAUUCAGCUAACCACGGUUUGUGGUCAUCAGCUAUCCUUUAGCUCGAAAAUCUAUCGCCAGUUCUGUACGGCGCGGCUCGGAACGGAACAUACCGGACCAAUUUUUCUCUCCAUGUCCC